rnacentral:lncRNA from 1 species
UUACAUCGUUCAACAACUUCACCACUAAAUUAGAUUUUCACCUUAACUCAAUUGGAAAAACAUUUCCAAUGAUCCCUCUUUGCUUCAUGCAGAAGUGAAUGCCAUGGUUCAUCCUAGCAAAACAGCUACAAGAUAAUAAAAUCAUCCCAUGUAUUGCUACAUAGCCCAGCUUCUUGCAUGUUGUAGUUCCUCCCUAUUAAAUAACACCCUCACAUGAAUCAUGAUCAUCAUAUCCAGGUAUUCCUCUGCCUCAAGCUUGUGAUAAAGAAUACUAUACCACUUUCAGCCACCAUUCUCGAGAUCAACAGAACAAACAGGGGAUUAUUUAGUGACGAGAACACCAAUGGAUGCCUUGUUGUGUGAAAUCUAGAACCAACCUUGUGGAUUAAAAUGGAAGAGAAACCAAAUGAUUCCGAGCCUGUUUGUAUUCGCGUUGAAACAAAUGCAAGGCUUUGUGCCUCUAGCUUCUGUGUUUUUUGUCUCGUAACAUGUGAAAUGUUCG